rnacentral:rRNA from 1 species
GGACAAUGGGCGAGCCUGACGGAGCAUACCGCGUGAGGGAUGACUGGCCUAUGGGUUGUAAACCUCUUUUUUCAGGGAGGAAUAAAUGACGUGUACCUGAAGAAUAAGCAUCGGCUAACUCCGUGCCAGCAGCCGCGGUAAGACGGAGGAUGCAAGUGUUAUCCGGAAUCACUGGGCGUAAAGCGUCUGUAGGUGGUUUAAUAAGUCAACUGUUAAAUCUUGAGGCCCAACUUCAAAACCGCAGUCGAAACUAUUAGACUAGAGUAUAGUAGGGGUAAAGGGAAUUUCCAGUGGAGCGGUGAAAUGCGUAGAUAUUGGAAAGAACACCGAUGGCGAAAGCACUUUACUGGGCUAUUACUAACACUCAGAGACGAAAGCUAAGGUAGCAAAUGGGAUUAGAUACCCCAGUAGUCCUAGCCGUAAACAAUGGAUACUAGAUGUUGAACAGAUCGACCUGUGCAGUAUUAAAGCUAACGCGUUAAGUAUCCCGCCUGGGAAGUAUGCUCGCAAGAGUGAAACUCAAAGGAAAUUGACGGA